ensembl:snRNA U6 U6 spliceosomal RNA
GUGCUUGCUUUGGCAGCCCAUAUACUAAACUUGGAAUCAUACAGAGAAGAUUAACAUGGCCGCUGCCCAAGGAUGACACGUAAAUUUAUGAGACGUUCCAUAGUUAA